ACGAACGCUGGCGGCGUGCUUAACACAUGCAAGUCGAACGAUGAAGCCCUUCGGGGUGGAUUAGUGGCGAACGGGUGAGUAACACGUGGGCAAUCUGCCCUUCACUCUGGGACAAGCCCUGGAAACGGGGUCUAAUACCGGAUAACACUCUCCUCCUCCUGGGGGUGGGUUAAAAGCUCCGGCGGUGAAGGAUGAGCCCGCGGCCUAUCAGCUUGUUGGUGGGGUAAUGGCCUACCAAGGCGACGACGGGUAGCCG
rnacentral:rRNA from 5 species